GAUGAAGAACGUAGCGAAAUGCGAUAAGUAAUGUGAAUUGCAGAAUUCAGUGAAUCAUCGAAUCUUUGAACGCACAUUGCGCCCGCUAGUAUUCUGGCGGGCAUGCCUGUUCGAGCGUCAUUUCAACCAUCAAGCCCCAGGCUUGCGUUGGGGGCCUGCGGCUGCCGCAGCCCCUGAAAAGCAGUGGCGGGCUCGCUGUCAUUCCGAGCGUAGUAGCUACAUCUCGCUCCGGGCGUGGCGGUGGGCACCUGCCGUGAAACACUCUUUCUAAGGUUGACCUCGGAUCAGGUAGGAAUACCCGCUGAACUUAAGCAUAUCAAUAAGCGGAGGA
rnacentral:misc_RNA from 1 species